UUCCAGACUCCUACGGGAGGCAGCAGUAGGGAAUAUUGCUCAAUGGGGGAAACCCUGAUGCAGCGACGCCGCGUGAGGGAAGACGGUUUUCGGAUUGUAAACCUCUGUCUUUGGGGACGAAUUGAGACGGUACCCAAGGAGGAAGCUCCGGCUAACUACGUGCCAGCAGCCGCGGUAAUACGUAGGGGGCAAGCGUUAUCCGGAUUUACUGGGUGUAAAGGGGGCGCAGACGGCAAUGCAAGCCAGGAGUGAAAGCCCGGGGCCCAACCCCGGGACUGCUCUUGGAACUGCAUGGCUGGAGUACAGGAGGGGCAGGCGGAAUUCCUAGUGUAGCGGUGAAAUGCGUAGAUAUUAGGAGGAACACCGGUGGCGAAGGCGGCCUGCUGGACUGUGACUGACGUUGAGGCCCGAAGGCGUGGGGAGCAAACAGGAUUAGAUACCCUUGUA
rnacentral:rRNA from 1 species